UAGGGAAUAUUGGGCAAUGGGUGAGAGCCUGACCCAGCCAUGCCGCGUGCCGGAAGACGGCCCUACGGGUUGUAAACGGCUUUUAUACGGGAACAAAUAGACCUUGCGAGGUCAGUUGAGGGUACCGUAUGAAUAAGCACCGGCUAACUCCGUGCCAGCAGCCGCGGUAAUACGGAGGGUGCAAGCGUUGUCCGGAUUUAUUGGGUUUAAAGGGUACGUAGGCGGGCUGUUAAGUCUGUGGUGAAAGCUCUCGGCUCAACCGGGAAAUUGCCAUGGAUACUGACAGUCUUGAGUACAGUAGAGGUGGGCGGAAUUCAUGGUGUAGCGGUGAAAUGCAUAGAUACCAUGAGGAACACCGAUAGGGAAGCCAGCUCACUGGACUGUAACUGACGCUGAGGUACGAAAGCGUGGGGAGCGAACAGGAUUAGAUACCCGGGUAGUCC
rnacentral:rRNA from 1 species